rnacentral:rRNA from 1 species
UACGUAGGGUGCAAGCGUUGUCCGGAAUUAUUGGGCGUAAAGGGCUCGUAGGCGGUUUGUCGCGUCGGGAGUGAAAACCAGGUGCUUAACACCUGGCUUGCUUUCGAUACGGGCAGACUAGAGGUAUGCAGGGGAGAACGGAAUUCCUGGUGUAGCGGUGAAAUGCGCAGAUAUCAGGAGGAACACCGGUGGCGAAGGCGGGUCUCUGGGCCGUAACUGACGCUGAGGAGCGAAAGCAUGGGGAGCGAACAGG